rnacentral:rRNA from 1 species
GACGAACCGUCCGAACGUUAUUCGGAAUCACUGGGCUUAAAGGGUGCGUAGGCGGCGCGGAAAGUUGGGUGUGAAAUCCCUCGGCUCAACCGAGGAACUGCGCCCAAAACUACCGUGCUCGAGGGAGAUAGAGGUGAGCGGAACUUAGGGUGGAGCGGUGAAAUGCGUUGAUAUCCUAAGGAACACCGGUGGCGAAAGCGGCUCACUGGAUCUCUUCUGACGCUGAGGCACGAAAGCGUGGGGAGCAAACAGGG